rnacentral:rRNA from 1 species
CCUACGGGGGGCUGCAGUGGGGAAUAUUGCGCAAUGGGCGAAAGCCUGACGCAGCAACGCCGCGUGUGUGAUGAAGGCCUUCGGGUUGUAAAGCACUGUUCAGAGGGAAGAAGUGACGGGGGUAAACACUCCGUUUUGACGGUACCUCUGAAGAAAGCACUGGCUAACUCCGUGCCAGCAGCCGCGGUAAUACGGAGAGUGCAAGCGAUGUUCGGAAUUGUUGGGCGUAAAGGGAUGGCAGGUGGCGUGGGAAAUCCCUCGGCUCAACCGAGGACGUGCACUUGAAACUGCUAAGCUUGAGUAUCGGAGGGGGCAGCGGAAUUCCUGGUGUAGAGGUGAAAUUCGUAGAUAUCAGGAGGAACACCAGUGGCGAAGGCGGCUGCCUGGCCGAAUACUGACACUGAAGCGCGAAAGCGUGGGGAGCAAACAGGAUUAGAUACCCCUGUAGUC